rnacentral:rRNA from 1 species
CUGGUUGAUCCUGCCAGACCCGACUGCUAUCGGAUUGGGACUAAGCCAUGCGAGUCAACUCCGCAAGGGGUGGCGCACGGCUCAGUAACACGUAGUCAACCUACCCUGGGGACGGGGAUAACCUCGGGAAACUGAGGCUAAACCCCGAUGGGCCAUGGCUCCUGGAAUGGGCUAUGGCUGAAAUCUACAUGGCCCCAGGAUGGGACUGCGGCCGAUCAGGUUGUUGGUGGGGUAAUGGCCCACCAAGCCUAUAACCGGUGCGGGCUCUGAGAGGAGGAGCCCGGAGAUGGGCACUGAGACAUGGGCCCAGGUCCUAUGGGGCGCAGCAGGCGCGAAACCUCCGCAAUGGGCGAAAGCCCGACGGGGUCAGUCCGAGUGGUUCCCGCUGAGGGAACCUUUUGCCAGCUGUAAACAGGCUGGCGAAUAAGGGGUGGGCAAGUUUGGUGUCAGCCGCCGCGGUAAUACCAGCACCCCGAGUGGUCGGGACGAUUAUUGGGCCUAAAGCAUCCGUAGCCGGCCCAGUAAGUCCUCCGUUAAAUCCAACGGCUCAACCGUUGGGCUGCGGGGGAUACUGCUGGGCUAGGGGACGGGAGAGGCGAGGGGUAUUCCCGGGGUAGGGGUAAAAUCCACUGAUCCCGGGAGGACCACCAGUGGCGAAGGCGCCUCGCUAGAACGUGCCCGACGGUGAGGGAUGAAAGCUGGGGGAGCGAACCGGAUUAGAUACCCGGGUAGUCCCAGCCGUAAACGAUGUAGGCUCGGUGUUGGGCUGCCUCAGUGGCAGCCCAGUGCCGCAGGGAAGCCGUUAAGCCUACCGCCUGGGGAGUACGGCCGCAAGGCUGAAACUUAAAGGAAUUGGCGGGGGAGCACCAC